rnacentral:rRNA from 1 species
ACGGACCAAGGAGUUUAUCGUGUACGCAAGUCAUUGGGUGAAUAAAACCCAUAGGCGAAAUGAAAGUAAAAAGUAGAAUAUUUUAGAUUUCUUUAAUAUUCUCUUUAAGGGAAGAUAGUAAUCUCUUUUCAUUAAUAAUAAUUAUAGUGUGUGUAUAUUUAUAUAUGCGCCUAUAAUUAUUGUUUAUGAUAUUGUUUUAAGAUUGCUCGCAUUCCCGGGGCGCUUGUGUCACGCUUUGCGUGUUAAUGCGCACCUAGAGCGUACACGCUGAUACCCGAAAGAUGGUGAACUAUGCCUGGCCAGGACGAAGCCAGGGGAAACCCUGGUGGAGGUCCGCAGCGAUUCUGACGUGCAAAUCGAUCGUCGGAGCUGGGUAUAGGGGCGAAAGACCAAUCGAACCAUCUAGUAGCUGGUUCCCUCUGAAGUUUCCCUCAGGAUAGCUUGCGCUCGGUUGAGAAGAGUCUCAUCCGGUAGAGCGAAUGAUUAGAGGCAUUGGGGUCGAAACGACCUCAACCUAUUCUCAAACUCCAAAUAGAUGAGACACCCGGCUUUCUUAAAAGUGAAGCCGUGGGAUUUUGAUCAGAGUGCCAAGUGGGCCAAUUUUGGUAAGCAGAA